UGGUUCUGGCAUCGAUGAAGAACGCAGCGAAAUGCGAUAAGUAAUGUGAAUUGCAGAAUUCAGUGAAUCAUCGAAUUUUUGAACGCAUAUUGCGCCCUUUGGUAUUCCGAAGGGCAUGCCUGUUCGAGCGUCAUUACACCCCUCAAGCCUAGCUUGCAGUUGGGCCCUGCCGGAGACGGCGGGCCUCAAAGUCAGUGACGGUUACCCCUAACCUCAGGCGCACAGAUGCUGCCAUGACGGGAAGGGGCCACCGGUAACCCAAGACGUUGACCUCGGAUCAGGUAGGAAUACCCGCUGA
rnacentral:misc_RNA from 1 species